UACGGGGGGGGCAAGCGUUGUUCGGAAUUACUGGGCGUAAAGGGCGCGUAGGCGGCCUGCUAAGUCGGACGUGAAAUCCCACGGCUCAACCGUGGAACUGCUGGGCAUACUGCGGGUCUUGGGCCAACUAGGGGCAGCCGGAACAAGCGGUGGAGCGGUGAAAUGCGUAGAUAUCGCUUGGAACGCCGAAGGUGAAAACAGGCUGCUGGGGUUGCGCCGACGCUGAGACACGAAAGCCAGGGGAGCAAACGGG
rnacentral:rRNA from 1 species